rnacentral:lncRNA from 1 species
ACUUAUCAACAGAACCUGGUUCUUUCAGGCUUUCUACUUUACACAGUACCAUUGUAAUUCAUCAAGGAGUAUAUUUGUAUCUAAUCUUCCAUAUAGGUUCUUUUAGGAUUUCUACUUUACACAGUACCGUUGUAAUUCAUCAAGGAGUAUAUUUGUAUCUAAUCUUCCAUAUAAAAGCUACGCAUUGCAGAUAAAAGGGCAACUCCGUGGAAAAUACAGUAGCUUUGGUUUCAUUCACUGAUUUUUUUACACCAUUAGAAGGGGGUGCCAAGUUCAAAGACAGUGUCCAUUAGGUAUCUGGCAAGCUAUACUUCAAUCAGAGAAGGGGAUGACACACAAAUAGUUCAAUUGAGAAGGAAGAGAGGGAUGCACCAUCU